CAACAGAUAGUUAUCGUUUACAUUUCUUUCCUGAGUCUCCUCAGCUUCUCUGGAGAAAAAAAUCAUAGCAAAGGAUUUUUCAUAAAAUACCAUGGCUACACUUCAUAAACGCAGGGACAGGCUUUUGCUUUGACAUUUCCAUGGAGAGCUGACAGAAGGAAUUUGUUAUUUCAAGUCUGGAAACACAAUAAAAGAAAUGAAAUAGAUUCUAACUCCAGAGUAUAAGGAAGACACUUAUGAGGGAUUCUGUCAUCUCUGUCCAGCUGAGAAGUCUUCUGAUCACCUGCCAGUGACCUUGUCAAUGAACCCUGUGAGCUGUGGAAGAUAUAUCUCAGGGGUUUUGAGAAGACCUGUGAUCUCCUCCAAGCACUUGAGAAUCUGAGAGAUGCAAGAGGCACUGUGAGAGAGAUGAGACCAAAGUGAAAUAAUCCACUCACGCAAAAACACAGCAUGAAGUGGAAAUACUCCCUGAGUUUUUGUUGGCAGUGUGCUAGAACGGUGAGCAACACAGCUGGGAAUGCUGAAGACCCCAAAGAUUCCUAGUGCCUACGACCCAGAUGUUGUUCAUGCUUCUGCUACUCCCAUCAGCAGAAGGUGAGUGGAAUUCAUCCUCGUUGCUGAAGUUGCAGUAGAGCUCUGCUCCCUGGGUGAUUGCACGAGGGAUUUAGAGAUCAGGAUCCAAACCAAGCCUCAGCAUCUCAGUUCCUUUCUUCGGUGUUCUGUGGUUGUCUUUGUAAGCUUGAGUAACUAGUGAAACCUCUCCUAUCAACUACUACCUGGACACACCGGAGCUCUUUUGCACAUUUAUCUACCUUGAGGGUCAAUAUGAAAGAGCUGUUUCAUUCAGCUUUAGCAUAAAGAAGAGUGAAAGCACACAAUUGUACAAAAUAUUGCCAUCACACACUUCACCAGCCUGAACACAUGAGCACUGGGAUUUUUUUCCUUUCCUCUUAUGUACUGCUUUUACUGCCUGUGACAGUCUGAGAAACUUUGGGAACAGCUGGAAAGUCCUGCAGAGAACUGAUGUGGAGAUGUCAUGUACUUCCAGCUCCUGUGGGGUGCAGUCAGAGUUGUCCCUGCUCAGUGCCAGGGACAAGGCUGCAUCAGGAACAGGAAUGGAUGGACCCCACUAUGCCUAGCUUAAGGAAUGCCCCUACAAAGAAACAAAAAAGACAAGUUAGUCAGCCAGUAAAACACUGCAUGACUCUGGUAUAAAAUUAGCAGUGAUAUUUAGGGAACACAUUGCAGAGUGGAAAAUAUAUUUGAUCAUGCAUAAGACGAAAUAGGACAAAAGUAUUUUUUCUUUCUUGUUAGAGACACUUAGACAAAUAUCUUUUCCCUUCUUUAAUUUCUUCUUCUCCUAAGAGAAACAAUCCACCAAACCCUUGAAAACUUGCUAGCAGCUUAGGCUAACAAUGGCACAGUCAGAGGCAGGGAUUUUUUCCAGAAGGCCCUGAGUCCAUGCAGUGCAGAGGAUAAUAGUGAAUCAAGGCAAGAAAGAAUAUACAUUUUGCCUGAAAGUGCUGUGGUUCAUUUAUUAGUCUGGUCAUGCUAGACAUCCUGUAAUGCAGGUAUGAGCCUUACUGUCAGCUUCAACACCUUGUCUGCACUUGCUGCUUGAUUGAUCUGUAAAACUCCUCUUGGCUUCCAGGAGUUGGAAAAAAUCAUAGAACAAGGACCUGCAAUUGAAACUUGCAGCAUGAUACACAGGCAGGAGGAAGGAUAAAUGGAUGUUGCACAGAAGUAUCAUAAAUCUCUUGUUUUCUAAUUUCUACAAUUUUUUUGUUAACAUUUUUGUAAUGCUUUAACACCACUAAGGGAAUGGCAGAGAAGGGGAGAAAUGAUAGAUUAAGAGUAUCCAAAAGUUUGGAAAGGUCAUUUAGGAAAACUUUUACAAACGGAGUUUAACAUCAUUGGGAGAAGGCUGAGGGUCAACAGUUGACAACAUUUUUUUUUUGAGGGCUUGAAAGUUAAUAAACACUGCUCAUGUAGCAAUAGAUGUCUGUAUCUUUGUUUGUUUGCAUGUAUUCUUCAUACUGUUCAUGAAAGUUCCAUUUGAAACCACUUUUCAAAAGGAUUAAAUUUCGUGCUCAUGGAUUGCUACUGUUUCAUACCCAGUGAGACAGUGUUAUUGAUUCAUAAAAUUAGGGCUUUUGAUUUAAUUGAAUGUGAAUGUGUGUUGAUUAAUAUUUACACACUCCUCUGAGGUGUAUGGUGCUGUGCAGACUGUAGAGAUUACAAGAUCCCUGCCCUAGGAUGCUUACAAAACAGACAACACAAUGAAUUACAUUGGCUAAGAAGAGUCACAGCAGGGGUGAAAGAAGAAAGGAAACAACAGAAAGCGAAAGAAAGGGAAUUUGUUUCAUGAAAUACUCAUUAUUUACAAAGCAUGACCAUCAGGUAAUUUGAUUCCAUUUGGCUUUUAUUUUGGAUUUGUUUUUCACUUUGUUUUGUUAGGUUUAAUGAUCAGGCAUGGGUGAGAUAGCGUAUAACACUAGAGCUGAGAUUAAUGAUGAAAGGCCAAGAGAAAGCUGUGGCUCUUGAGGAGGGAUUUCAGAAAGAAAAGCAUUUGGUUUUGCACUCAUUAGAAGCAGGCAGGCUCAGGCACAGAAGAGUUUCACACUUGCGUGAAACUUUAAAUUAACCACAUGUGUAAGUCUUUGUGGGAAUAGGGGACUAAUUGGGUAGAUUAGAAUACAAUUAACUGUGAAGUCUGGCUAGCACUAACUGACAAUGUUCAAAGAGUGGAAAAGCUGAUAAAAUCCUGCCUAGUUAAAAAAAAACUAUGAAGACAUCUGGGGAGGGAAGGGAACCCUUUGCCAUUACAGGAUGAGUGCCAGCAACACAAGUGAGAUGAAUUUGGUGCUCUCUACUGUUGCUAUAGCCUUACUCAGCUACACUGGUUUUUCUUCCAACAUCCAUUUCAAUUAUCGUAUAGCAACUAAGCCCACUGCUGACCUACAGAAACCUUCAGCAUCCUCAGUCUUCACAAACAGGAAGAUACUAUGCUGCCCCAGAGCUGGCAGAGUUGGGAUGGCUCAUAAGCACCUCCUCCAAAAUCGAGCACACUUCAUCACAAUAUCUACUGAAAGGUACUAAAUGAUUUUUACUACUACUUUAGGACAUGAUCACAGUUAUCCAAGUGUUAAAACUUUGUGGGUAUAUUUCCUGAGCAUUCAGUCAUCUAAUGAAAUAUAGAUAAAAAGUCCUGCCAGAACUUUCUAAGAGAUACCAGGUAGUUUAUUUGAUUCAUACAUAAAAUUUAGUAAUACAUUAAAAUGGAGUAUCUUUCUAAGGUACUCAUAUUACACCUGUCAAAGAUGUUAAAACCGUUCUUCAUAGUUUUGAAUUGUCUUAAAUUUUAUGAGUUUUUAAAUGAAAGGCUGACUUUCCUAAGGUCAUCCAUCAGAUAAUAUGAUUUAUAAAUAGAGUUUAUGUGCCCAGUAUCUGCAGAAACCUGGACUUCAUGCUGUUAAGUCUUAAAUAAUUUGCAAAACACUUGAGAAAAGUGUUUAAGCAUUUUAUCUUUUGGAAAGAUAGCAUGGAAGAGUUGGACCCUGUAUUUGAAUCUGUUUGACCUUCAGUGCUUAAUUGCCCUUUACAAUGCAGUGUCUGAAGCCUUUUGUGUCUAAAUGGGAUCUCUGACUGAAGGGGUGUGCUGGGUUUGCUUAGCCAGGUUUUGGGGGGUGUGUGUGUAUGUGUGUGUGUCUGUGUCUGUAUGGGGUGGCUUCUGUUCUUCCCCCAUGUCAGAGAGGGUCAAUGGCAGUUGGCUCCAAAUGGAUCCACUGAUGACCAAGACUGAGCCCAUCAGCCAUGGUGGUAGUGCCACUGGGAUAACAGAUUUAGGAAGGGGAGAAAGUUUCUGCACAAGAGUAGUUGCACCCAAAGAGAGUACUGAGAAUAUUUCGGAGAAAUAAUUGUGCAGACGCCAAGGUCAGUGGAGAAGGAGGGUGAGGAGAUGCUCCAGGUGUCAGAGCAGCCCAAGGUGAAGACCACGGUGAGUCAGGCUGUCCUUCUGCAGCCUGUGGAGGCCCAUGGGAGAGUAGUGAUCCACCUGCAGCCCCUGGGGGGCCCCACACUAGAGCAGGUGGGUGCCCAGCAGAGGCUGUGACCCCAUGGGAAGCCCACACAGGAGCAGGCUCCUGGCAAGACCUGUGGCUGUGUGGAAAGAGGACUCCAUGCUGAAGCAGGUUAUCUGGCAGGAUUCGUGGUCCGGGGGGGCCAUGCUGGAGUAGCCUGUUCCUGAAGGACUGCACUCUGCAGAAGGGACCCACAGUGCAGCAAUUGAUGAAGAACUGCAGACUGUAGGAAGGAUUCACAUUGGAAAAGUUUGUGGAAAGCUGUCUCCUGAACUGGGAAGUGUGAGGAGUCAAGGAGCAGCAGGGACAAUGUGUGAUGAACUGAUCAACUGAUCUCAGCCCUCAUUCACUGUCUCCUUAUGCCAUUGAGGAGAGAAGGGAGAGCAUUUGGGAGUGAAGACAGUAAUCUUCCCCAAGAAGAAGGGAUUGGUGUAGGGGAGAUAUUUUAAGAUUUGCUUUUAUUUCUCAUUAUUCCACUCUGAUUUGAUGGGCAAUAAAUUAAAUUAAUUUCCCAAAGUCAAGUCUCUUUUGCCUGUGAUGCCAAUUGCUGAGUGUUUCCUUAUCCUGACCCACAAACCUUUCAUUCUGUUCUCUCCCUGGUCCAGCUGAGGAGGGGAGUGAUAAAGCACAUUUGGCAGGCACUUUGCACGCAGCCAGUGUCAGUGCAUUGCAAGGAGGAAGGCAAAUGUUGUAAUGUCUACAAUGGUGGCAGUGAUUGAACUGAGAAUCUUUUCAGUUCAAUAUUGGUGAAAGUGUAGAUGCUUGGAGUUGAAAAAGAUAUAAAUAACCUACAUGGAUGUUACUUUGAGCACUGUAUGUCAAUGGCAACUUAGGUAUUAUUUUCAAGACAACUAAAAAAAACGAAAGUAAUGCAUAUAAAUGUCUGACCCAGACAACUUUUCUGCUUCUUAUAGAUAAAUAAUUAACCCUGUCUUUUUUGCUUUUCUUCCUAAAUAUGCAUUCAGAAGGAUAUAUGACCAUACAGAUGGUUGCAUACACAAGUGUGUGGUCAGAUAUUAUCAAAGACAACCAUCUCCCAUUCUUAUAUCCUGAGUCAAGGUCACGACUAUCAUGCAUCUAAAGAGAGGACUAUAUGUUCCUGCACAGAACUGAGAACAUGUUGAAAACAAUAGUUACAACAUGUUUUAAUAAAGCACAAAAAUUGUAUCAUCUGAAAUACAGGGUCAAAAUUACUUCUGUUGUUUCCUCUACCCUCACUGGAAAACUGACCAAUCCAUGAAGCAUUUGAAAACUAGUCACUCCAGUUUCACUGUGGGUGUUGGAAAAAUAAUUUGAAAAAAUAUUUCCAACAGAGUUACUAUUGUUUAUGAAGAUUUUUCAGAGACUCAAAACUUUGGCUUUGUUAAACUCCCCAUUGGACAAUAAAAUAUUUUGUAAAAGUGGAGCCCUGAGUGUUAUGUAUUAAUGGUGCUUCACACUGACCUCAU